CCGAUUACCAACUCAGGGAAGGGGGAAGGGAAAGGGACAUCAGAACACACAAAUCCUGCGAUUUUUGUCUGACAGACAGAUGUAUGAAUGAGAAUGGUUUAAAGAGUGAGGGUGAAACCACUGAGGGUGAAAAAUCAGGCCGGUCCUGGAUGCGCACCUGCAGAUUCUGGUCCAACCACAAACAUCCCUGAUCUGAGAAAGGAAGAAGAGAAAACAGAGAAAGGAGAACAGGAAAAAGGAGCAUAAAAGAGUUUUAAACCUGAAGAAGAGUCUUGACCCUCCGCCUGCAGCCACAGUAUUGAUGUCCAGUUGAGGUGCCUGCAGGGUAACCCCGGCUGUG